UGAGUAAUGUCUGGGAAACUGCCUGAUGGAGGGGGAUAACUACUGGAAACGGUAGCUAAUACCGCAUAACGUCGCAAGACCAAAGAGGGGGACCUUCGGGCCUCUUGCCAUCAGAUGUGCCCAGAUGGGAUUAGCUAGUAGGUGGGGUAACGGCUCACCUAGGCGACGAUCCCUAGCUGGUCUGAGAGGAUGACCAGCCACACUGGAACUGAGACACGGUCCAGACUCCUACGGGAGGCAGCAGUGGGGAAUAUUGCACAAUGGGCGCAAGCCUGAUGCAGCCAUGCCGCGUGUAUGAAGAAGGCCUUCGGGUUGUAAAGUACUUUCAGCGGGGAGGAAGGUGCUGAGGUUAAUAACCUCAGCAAUUGACGUUACCCGCAGAAGAAGCACCGGCUAACUCCGUGCCAGCAGCCGCGGUAAUACGGAGGGUGCAAGCGUUAAUCGGAAUUACUGGGCGUAAAGCGCACGCAGGCGGUCUGUCAAGUCGGAUGUGAAAUCCCCGGG
rnacentral:rRNA from 1 species